rnacentral:rRNA from 1 species
GUCUAUGGCCAUGCCACCCUGAACGUGCCCGAUCUUGUCUGAUCUCGGAAGCUAAGCAGGGUCGGACCUGGUUAGUACUUGGAUGGGAGACCACCGAGGAAUACCAGGUGCUGCAAGGC